rnacentral:misc_RNA from 1 species
AAAGUCGUAACAAGGUCUCCGUUGGUGAACCAGCGGAGGGAUCAUUACAGAGUUGCAAAACUCCCAACCCUUUGUGAACGAACCUACCAGUUGCUUCGGCAGGUGGCCCUUCAGGGGGCGGCCUGCCGAAGGACCCUUAACUCUUGAUUUUUUGGCAUCUCUGAGUACCUAUAAAAUAAGUUAAAACUUUCAACAACGGAUCUCUUGGUUCUG